rnacentral:rRNA from 1 species
UGAACGCUGGCGGCGUGCUUAACACAUGCAAGUCGAACGUGAAAGUCCUUCGGGGCGAGUAAAGUGGCGCACGGGUGAGUAACGCGUGGAUAAUCUACCCUUAAGAUGGGGAUAACGGCUGGAAACGGUCGCUAAUACCGAAUACGCUCCCGAUUUUAUCAUUGGGGGGAAAGAUGGCCUCUGCUUGCAAGCUAUCGCUUAAGGAUGAGUCCGCGUCCCAUUAGCUAGUUGGCGGGGUAACGGCCCACCAAGGCAACGAUGGGUAGCCGGUCUGAGAGGAUGACCGGCCACACUGGAACUGGAACACGGUCCAGACUCCUACGGGAGGCAGCAGUGGGGAAUAUUGCGCAAUGGGCGAAAGCCUGACGCAGCGACGCCGCGUGAGGGAUGAAGGUUCUCGGAUCGUAAACCUCUGUCAGGGGGGAAGAAACCCCCUCGUGUGAAUAAUGCGAGGGCUUGACGGUACCCCCAAAGGAAGCACCGGCUAACUCCGUGCCAGCAGCCGCGGUAAUACGGAGGGUGCAAGCGUUAAUCGGAAUCACUGGGCGUAAAGCGCACGUAGGCGGCUUGGUAAGUCAGGGGUGAAAUCCCACAGCCCAACUGUGGAACUGCCUUUGAUACUGCCAGGCUUGAGUACCGGAGAGGGUGGCGGAAUUCCAGGUGUAGGAGUGAAAUCCGUAGAUAUCUGGAGGAACACCGGUGGCGAAGGCGGCCACCUGGACGGUAACUGACGCUGAGGUGCGAAAGCGUGGGUAGCAAACAGGAUUAGAUACCCUGGUAGUCCACGCUGUAAACGAUGGGUGCUGGGUGCUGGGAUGUAUGUCUCGGUGCCGUAGCUAACGCGAUAAGCACCCCGCCUGGGGAGUACGGUCGCAAGGCUGAAACUCAAAGAAAUUGACGGGGGCCCGCACAAGCGGUGGAGUAUGU